GGGUGAGCUGGACCGCAGACAGAAGGCAAAAGGGCCAACAAGUGCUAAGCAUCUCUCGGGGAACUCCUUCAAGACUGUUGGAAGACCAUUUCAGAUUUGAGGGAAAGAUUAAAAACAAGGAGGUCUGGGAACGACUGAAGAAGACAGCAGUGAGGGAAGGAAGUAAUCACCAGAAUGUAAGUUCUUUGAGAAUGUUGCAGGCCCAGGAUGAAGAAGAGGAGGAAGAACACAUUUAACAAUUUUCUCAUAAACUUGCCAUGUGUUAUAAUAAAAACAAUGACUACAGUAAUAUGCUAAAUGUUAUUAAAAGAUUCCAGUUUGCAAGAAAUCUGAGUGUCUGACUCUACACUAGAGGAACUCUUUUCUGAAGAACAUCAGGUGCUGAGAAGAAGCCUUGUUAUACAUCAAAACACUGCAUCAAGCCUCCUGUCCUUCCAUCAGAAGAGCCUGUCUUCUGCUGCUGGUGUAAGAAACACACUCUUCCUCUUCUCUGUCGGCUGUCCAGCACCUAACUCUGCCUCCUCAGCACUGUCUGAAAGAGUCUUCUCCACAGUCAGUAAUCAGAGAUCACAGAUUCUUCUGAGAAAGUCAAUACGCUCAUUUUCUUAAAAAC